CGGGGGGAGCAAGCGUUGUUCGGAUUUACUGGGCGUAAAGGGCGCGUAGGCGGCCACCGCAAGUCGGUAGUGAAAGCUCUGGGCUUAACCCAGAAAGGUCAAUCGAUACUGCGGGGCUAGAGUGCAGAAGGGGCAACUGGAAUUCUCGGUGUAGCGGUGAAAUGCGUAGAUAUCGAGAGGAACACCUGCGGCGAAGGCGGGUUGCUGGGCUGACACUGACGCUGAAGCGCGAAAGCUAGGGGAGCGAACGGGAUUAGAUACCCCGGUAGUCCUAGCCUUAAACGAUGAAUGCUUGGUGUCUGGGGUUUUAUAGUCCCCGGGUGCCGUCGCUAACGCUUUAAGCAUUCCGCCUGGGGAGUACGGUCGCAAGACUG
rnacentral:rRNA from 1 species